GACGAACGCUGGCGGCGUGCUUAACACAUGCAAGUCGAGCGGUAAGGCCCUUUCGGGGGUACGACGAGCGGCGAACGGGUGGAGUAACACGUGGGUGGACCUGCCCUCCAGCUCUGGGAGUAAGCCUCGGGAAACCGGGGUACGUAAUAACUGGAGUAUGACUCCAUGACGCAUGUUGGUGGGGUGGAAAGCCCUCGUGCGGCUGAGGAUGGGCCCGCGGCCUAUCAGCUUGUUGGUGGGGUGAGGCCUACCAAGGCGACGACGGGUAGCCGGCCUGAGAGGGCGACCGG
rnacentral:rRNA from 1 species